rnacentral:rRNA from 1 species
AGGUAAGCUACUAAGAGCGAAUGGUGGAUGCCUUGACUGGUAGAGGCGAUGAAGGACGUACUAGACUGCGAUAAGCUAGGUGGAGCUGUCAAGAAGCUUUGAUGCCUAGAUUUCCGAAUGGGGCAACCCAGUAUAUAGAGAUAUAUACUACCAUAAUGGAGCGAACGAGGGGAAUUGAAACAUCUUAGUACCCUCAGGAAAAGAAAUCAAACGAGAUUGCGUCAGUAGCGGCGAGCGAAAGCGUAAGAGGGCAAACCCAGUGCUUGCACUGGGGGUUGUAGGACUGCAAUGUGCAAGAGGAAAGGUUAGCAGAACACUCUGGAAAGUGUAGCCAUAGAGGGUGAUAGUCCCGUAUGCAAAAACCUAACCUUAGCUAGCAGUAUCCUGAGUAGGGCGGGACACGAGAAAUCCUGUCUGAAGCUGGGUAGACCACUAUCCAACCCUAAAUACUACUACCAGAUCGAUAGCGAACAAGUACCGUGAGGGAAAGGUGAAAAGAACGGCGGUGAGCCGAGUGAAAUAGAACCUGAAACCAUUUGCUUACAAUCAUUCAGAGCACUAUGUAGCAAUACAGUGUGAUGGACUGCCUUUUGCAUAAUGAGCCUGCGAGUUGUGGUGUCUGGCAAGGUUAAGCUAACGCGAAGCCGUAGCGAAAGCGAGUCUGAAUAGGGCGCUAAGUCAGAUGCUGCAGACCCGAAACGAAGUGAUCUAUCCAUGAGCAGGUUGAAGCUAGUGUAAGAACUAGUGGAGGACCGAACCCGCUAGCGUUGAAAAGCUAUGGGAUGACUUGUGGAUAGGGGUGAAAGGCCAAUCAAACUUCGUGAUAGCUGGUUCUCUCCGAAAUAUAUUUAGGUAUAGCGUUGUGUCGUAACUAAAGGGGGUAGAGCACUGAAUGGGCUAGGGCAUACACCAAUGUACCAAACCCUAUCAAACUCCGAAUACCUUUAGUGUAAUCACAGCAGUCAGGCGGCGAGUGAUAAAAUCCGUCGUCAAGAGGGAAACAACCCAGACUAACAGCUAAGGUCCCCAAAUCUUACUUAAGUGGAAAACGAUGUGAAGUUACUUAAACAACCAGGAGGUUGGCUUAGAAGCAGCCAUCCUUUAAAGAAAGCGUAAUAGCUCACUGGUCUAGUGAUUUUGCGCGGAAAAUAUAACGGGGCUA